rnacentral:lncRNA from 1 species
CUUGUGUAUGGGUAUUGGCUGAGGUGAUUAUUGGAAGAAAUUGUGGAUACAUGAUGCAUGGAAGAAUGGAAUAUCUGGAGAUUGUAUUUAAGGGCAUGGAACCCUAGGCAACGAAAGCGGAGAGGAAUACAACUUUCAUUUUUGUCUCUAGGAUUUUCUUUUUCACUUUUCUAGAUUUUUUUAUUGUUUGAUUUUUGGUGAGAGAGUGAAUUGCAUUAUUUAUUAUUUUUGGAGCUUCACCAUGGUUUUAAAAAUCGAACCGAACCAGCCGGUCCGAC